rnacentral:lncRNA from 1 species
CUUUUAAAUGUUAGCAUUUUAUUAUGCAGUGAGAUAUCACAGGAAAUAAUUAGUUACUCACAAGGUUUUGGACGGGCUUUAAGACCUCUGAAUGUAUAGUGGAAAGGUCCCAGCGUGAGCUGCCCAGAUGUGUAGAUCUUGAUGUGACUUUAGUAACAAAUGAGGAUUUGCUCCAGUUCUACAGUGAGAGAAAGUAUUCAAAAAGCUCUUUACUUUUUAUGUCAUUCUCAAUAGAUUCUAAUAAUGCAGAAAAUGUUACUUACUUGUAUGAACCCAAAAAGAUUCACAGCAACAUUGCCACUGAUAUUUAACAUAGACACUUUUUCCAGCGGUAUACGGUGCUUGAAUGUGUACAGCUCUUUACCAUUCACAUAAACCUGAUGAACCAAAGCAACACAACCCGUGUGAAGACAAGGUCCUAGCUUCCUUUUAGGAGUGUGCUGAGUUUUGUGUCUCAAAAUACAUACCUGAUAUCCUUCAGAUUCGAUGACAGUGAACAUCUCAAAAGCUUCUCCCUUUUUAAAGGGGUUGUCAGAGACACUUUCCUCAGCCUCCCAUCCUCCGUUCCUGAAGCUGUUCAUGACCACCUUCCGGUCCAUUCGAGGGUUGAAGUGGAAAGCAAUGUCAUCAUUGUCAGAUGGCCCAGUCUUGAAAUUUAGUUCAAAUCUGCAUGGAAGAUGAAACAUUUUAAAUCAACCAAAUCCAAACAACAAUUGUUAAAUAAAAUUAACAAUUUGUUUUGACCAAAUUGCCCAACAAAACAAUUCCUUACCGGUCAGCAUUAGCAGGAACAACUCCCUGCAAGUACAAGGCCAUGCCUUCUCUCAGUCCUCCUGAAAUUGGGGCCACAUAAGGAAGGUUCUGCAGUAAACACAAGAAAAUAUGCAUCAGUCCCUAUUAAUAAGCAUCAGCAUAAAUUAACC